rnacentral:rRNA from 1 species
GAACGGGUGAGUANNGAGGGCAAUCUGCCCUGCACUCUGGGACAACCCUGGAAACGGGUAAUACCGGAUACUAACCUUACAGGCUGAGGGUCGAAAGUCCGGCGGUGCAGGAUGAGCCCGCGGCCUAUCAGCUAGUUGGUGAGGUAAUGGCUCACCAGGCGACGACGGGUAGCCGGCCUGAGAGGGCGACCGGCCACACUGGGACUGAGACACGGCCCAGACUCCUACGGGAGGCAGCAGUGGGGAAUAUUGCACAAUGGGCGAAAGCCUGAUGCAGCGACGCCGCGUGAGGGAUGACGGCCUUCGGGUUGUAAACCUCUUUCAGCAGGGAAGAAGGACGGUACCUGCAGAAGAAGCGCCGGCU